AUUGAACGCUGGCGGAAUGCUUCACACAUGCAAGUCGAACGGCAGCACGGACUUCGGUCUGGUGGCGAGUGGCGAACGGGUGAGUAAUGUAUCGGAACGUGCCCAGUCGUGGGGGAUAACGUAGUGAAAAUUACGCUAAUACCGCACACGAUCUAUGGAUGAAAGCGGGGGAUCGCAAGACCUCGCGCGAUUGGAGCGGCCGAUAUCAGAUUAGGUAGUUGGUGGGGUAAAGGCCCACCAAGCCAACGAUCUGUAGCUGGUCUGAGAGGACGACCAGCCACACUGGAACUGAGACACGGUCCAGACUCCUACGGGAGGCAGCAGUGGGGAAUUUUGGACAAUGGGCGAAAGCCUGAUCCAGCCAUUCCGCGUGCAGGAUGAAGGCCCUCGGGUUGUAAACUGCUUUUGUACAGAACGAAAAGGUUUCUACUAAUACUAGGAGCUCAUGACGGUACUGUAAGAAUAAGCACCGGCUAACUACGUGCCAGCCGCCGCAGUAA
rnacentral:rRNA from 1 species